rnacentral:rRNA from 1 species
UGGGGAAUAUUGGACAAUGGGCGCAAGCCUGAUCCAGCAAUGCCGCGUGUGUGAAGAAGGCCUUCGGGUUGUAAAGCACUUUUAUCAGGAGCGAAACGCUGUCGGCUAAUACCCGGCGGAACUGACGGUACCUGAGGAAUAAGCACCGGCUAACUUCGUGCCAGCAGCCGCGGUAAUACGAAGGGUGCAAGCGUUAAUCGGAAUUACUGGGCGUAAAGCGUGCGUAGGCGGUUUCUUAAGUCUGCUGUGAAAUCCCCGGGCUCAACCUGGGAAUGGCAGUGGAUACUGGGAGGCUAGAGUGUGUCAGAGGGUGGUGGAAUUCCCGGUGUAGCGGUGAAAUGCGUAGAGAUCGGGAGGAACAUCAGUGGCGAAGGCGGCCACCUGGGACAACACUGACGCUGAGGCACGAAAAGCGUGGGGAGCAAAACAGGAUUAGAUACCCUGGUAGUCCACGCCCUAAAACGAUGCGAACUGGAUGUUGGUCUCAACUCGGAGAUCAGUGUCGAAGCUAACGCGUUAAGUUCGCCGCCUGGGGAGUACGGUCGCAAGACUGAAACUC